rnacentral:lncRNA from 1 species
GGUUUCAUUGAGAGUCCCAGAAAUACUGUCCUAGUGGCUUCCAUUCAGAAACAGCCUCACACAAAAAUGUUUAUGAAUUCUUGGAUACAUAAAUGUUGCAUGAAUGACAGUGUUGGGGAGGACACAGACUUUAUGCUAUUGUAUCACUUUUUGUCUUGUAGAUGUCAAUUUGAAUGAAAUGACAGCUAUUGCUGCUGGAUAAGGAUGGAGACAGUGUGGAGGGCUCAUAGUGAGAAAGCUGUCUGGAGAGUAGGCAAAGAAGGAAAGUCAGUCUAUAAGGAAUUCGUGCAGUGCUUCAGGAACUCCUUCAAGAGCAGCCAUUUUUGAAGAGCAUCACAAGGGGUGGGCCACACAGCUAGCCUCACGUGGUUCGCAGCACUCUUCAAAACUGCUUUUAAAGUAAAUUCUUGGUAUUCAUUUUGUUAUUUUUGCUUGCCACUUGACUCCAGUUGAGGGAAAACCAAACUCUAUGUUUUCAGAUUUUGUUCGUGUUCUUCAUCUUGGACUUUAAAAAGUAUCUUUUUUAAUUAUAUGGAGCUUAUUUAGUCCUUUAUAUAAUGUGCC